GUAUUAAAGACCAAUCGCUAUGACCAUAAUUUAUAUAUUAUUUUUCAUAAGAAUAUAAGAAGAAAUCAAAUAUUACGAACCAUUAAAACUGAAAUUAUCGUCGUUAAUAUUUUUUUUCUUACAGAUAUUAUUGAUAUUGCAUUGUUAUCAUCAUGAUCAUCAUCAUGAUCAUCAUCAUCAUCAUCAGACUAUCAUAAGGUCAGACUAUCGUAUUGCAACAUGGCUAGCGAUUGGCUGGAGGAAAAAAAAAUACAUUGAAAACCGUAAGAUUCAAUGGGACAUGAUGCGGUUGGAUGAAAAUGGGGGUACGUAAUGUGGAUGGUGUCAGAUGAUACAGUGGAACGUUACAGUAUACAGGAAGUUAACAUCUAAUUGUUACGUCAGCAUGGUAUUGUGACGUAAUGUGUAUUGUGACGUAAUUUUCUAUGACGUUGACAUUAUUCGAAGAUGGAGCAUGGAGUAAUGAAGUUCUGAUAUUAUUGAUAUUGCAUUGUUAUCAUCAUGAUCAUCAUCAUGAUCAUCAUCAUAAGGUCAGACUAUCGUAUUGCAACAUGGCUAGUGAUUGGCUGGAGGGAAAAAAUACAUUGAAAACCGUAAGAUUCAAUGGGACAUGAUGCGGUUGGAUGAAAAUGGGGUGUUUUUUUUAUACGAAAACUUAUUUAGAAACUGACACUAUGAUAUUGUUUUCUUAAAGGAACUCCACUGAGGUUUAUAGUAAAAGCAUAGAAUAUAUUUUUUUUACUCAGAUCAGCUGAGGCACGCAAAACAGGAAGACAUGCAAAAUAUAAUUAAGAAAUAUACCCAGAAAUGAAUUGAAAAGCGUACUUUGUGCUA